AACAACAAGGACUGUGCAAAGAUUGGGCUGAUGGCCACCAAGAGAGGUUAAUUCAGACCCCCAUCUGGAGCUCUGGGUAGACCUGGGAGGAAGCUGGAGCCCUGGAAUAGCAGAACCUUUGUGCCACCAUCGCUGAACAGGAGAAACCACCAAGGGCAGCUGUAGGAGCUCUGGCUCCAGCACUUGACAGGACAAAGACAGGAGAUGGGAGAGAAGGGCUCAGACCACAGCCUUUCUUUCAUGACGCUUCAGUACAUGAGCUGUCCGGAGUAAAAAAAAGGGCUGCAUGGCAGUGACAGCUACAGCAUGACCUGGAAGACCUGAGAAGAUUCAGGGUGCACGUUGAGUCGUGCUACACAGGAUGAAGCUGGGGGAGGUCUGGGAGAUUUCCAGGGCUGAGGCGGACAGCCUGUACCACGUUGCAUUUUCUUAGCAACUCCCCAACUUACAGCCUAUCGGAUGCUGUUAGAUUCUGACACAUUUGGUACGAACCAAAUGGCUAUGACUUAAUU
rnacentral:lncRNA from 1 species